rnacentral:lncRNA from 1 species
AACUAAAUACAUCAAUGGACGCAGAUCUGAGAUUAUUCAGCAAAGUGGGGAGAGUGUAACAAAUCAUCUGGUUACCAUAAGUUGAACGCACAUGCGGCACAUGCCAGUAUUCCGGGGACCUGGUGUUAUAACAUGGGAUCCGAGUGCAAGCCU